CUUUUAGCUUUUGUUUAUCAUGAAAGAUUUUUAUUUCAUUGUUGUACCUGAAGCUUAAUUUUGCUGGAUACAGAAUUCUUGGUUGGCAUCCAUUGUCUUUCAGUGUUUGAAAUACAUUGUUCCAGGAUCUUCUCGCUUUCAGCGUCUGUGAUGAAAAAUCCGUUGUUAACCUUAUUGGUUUACCCCUGAAUGUAAUCUGCCUCCUUUCUCUUGUAGCUUUUAAUAUUUUCUCCUUUUAAAGAAACCUUAUCAUAGGCUCAAAAGUAGUUCAUUUCUUAGGCUGUAUUUCUGAUCUAUCACUACUGUAUUAGUUAUCCAUGCUGUAUAACAAAUAACCCCAAAAUUCAGUAAAUGAAAACCACAAACAUUUCUUACAGUCUCUGAGCUUGGGAAUCUGGGUGUGGCUUAGCAGCAUAGUCGGAGAUAUGUUGUAUGGGGUUGUGGCCAUCUGAGGACUCAAAUGGGAAGCAUCCACUCCCAAAAUCAUUGCUGUGACCAUUGGCAAGUCUCAUAUCUGCUUCUGUGUUCACUCACAUGGGCCUCUCCACAGAGCUGCCUUGUGUCGUGAUGCCUGUCCUUACCCAGGGCAAGAGAAAAUAUGUCACACAGAAGCACCAGUCCUUUCAUGAGAACAUUGGAAAUGAUGAUUCAUCUCUUCUGCUGGAUCGCAUUGUUUGAAAGGAAGUCACUAAAUCCAGCUAGAGUGAACAACUCAUUCCUGUUUUUCCAAGACUUUCCUGCUGUUAGUUCUAGAAGCCCCAAAUCUUGAGAACCCCUAACUCUUGGGCAAACUUUAACUCAGUCUAUAUUCAAAGAGAGGGAAUUAUACAAGGAUGUGAAUAACAAAAGGUGGGAACCAUUUGGGGCCACCUUGGAGGCUGUCUACCAUGACCAUCUUUUUAUGAUUUAGUUCUUUUCAUUCUUAAAAAAUCAAGGCCUGGGAGCCUUUGUGGUUCAUAUAUCAGAAUAAAAGCCUUUGUUUUUUAAUGAUAUGAUGGAUCAUGUUGAAGUGAACCGAAUCAACAUGUAAACCAACUUUAAAAACAGCAUGUGCUGGGUGGAGAA
rnacentral:lncRNA from 1 species